rnacentral:rRNA from 1 species
GGGUUGUGAGGUUAAGCGACUAAGCGUACACGGUGGAUGCCCUGGCAGUCAGAGGCGAUGAAGGACGUGCUAAUCUGCGAUAAGCGUCGGUGAGGUGAUAUGAACCGUUAUAACCGGCGAUUUCCGAAUGGGGAAACCCAGUGUGUUUCGACACACUAUCAUUAACUGAAUCCAUAGGUUAAUGAGGCGAACCGGGGGAACUGAAACAUCUAAGUACCCCGAGGAAAAGAAAUCAACCGAGAUUCCCCCAGUAGCGGCGAGCGAACGGGGAGGAGCCCAGAGCCUGAAUCAGUGUGUGUGUUAGUGGAAGCGUCUGGAAAGGCGCGCGAUACAGGGUGACAGCCCCGUACACAAAAAUGCACAUAUUGUGAGCUCGAUGAGUAGGGCGGGACACGUGGUAUCCUGUCUGAAUAUGGGGGGACCAUCCUCCAAGGCUAAAUACUCCUGACUGACCGAUAGUGAACCAGUACCGUGAGGGAAAGGCGAAAAGAACCCCGGCGAGGGGAGUGAAAAAGAACCUGAAACCGUGUACGUACAAGCAGUGGGAGCCUCUUAAUGGGGUGACUGCGUACCUUUUGUAUAAUGGGUCAGCGACUUAUAUUCUGUAGCAAGGUUAACCGAAUAGGGGAGCCGAAGGGAAACCGAGUCUUAACUGGGCGUUAAGUUGCAGGGUAUAGACCCGAAACCCGGUGAUCUAGCCAUGGGCAGGUUGAAGGUUGGGUAACACUAACUGGAGGACCGAACCGACUAAUGUUGAAAAAUUAGCGGAUGACUUGUGGCUGGGGGUGAAAGGCCAAUCAAACCGGGAGAUAGCUGGUUCUCCCCGAAAGCUAUUUAGGUAGCGCCUCGUGAAUUCAUCUCCGGGGGUAGAGCACUGUUUCGGCAAGGGGGUCAUCCCGACUUACCAACCCGAUGCAAACUGCGAAUACCGGAGAAUGUUAUCACGGGAGACACACGGCGGGUGCUAACGUCCGUCGUGAAGAGGGAAACAACCCAGACCGCCAGCUAAGGUCCCAAAGUCAUGGUUAAGUGGGAAACGAUGUGGGAAGGCCCAGACAGCCAGGAUGUUGGCUUAGAAGCAGCCAUCAUUUAAAGAAAGCGUAAUAGCUCACUGGUCGAGUCGGCCUGCGCGGAAGAUGUAACGGGGCUAAACCAUGCACCGAAGCUGCGGCAGCGACACUAUGUGUUGUUGGGUAGGGGAGCGUUCUGUAAGCCUGUGAAGGUGGCCUGUGAGGGUUGCUGGAGGUAUCAGAAGUGCGAAUGCUGACAUAAGUAACGAUAAAGCGGGUGAAAAGCCCGCUCGCCGGAAGACCAAGGGUUCCUGUCCAACGUUAAUCGGGGCAGGGUGAGUCGACCCCUAAGGCGAGGCCGAAAGGCGUAGUCGAUGGGAAACAGGUUAAUAUUCCUGUACUUGGUGUUACUGCGAAGGGGGGACGGAGAAGGCUAUGUUGGCCGGGCGACGGUUGUCCCGGUUUAAGCGUGUAGGCUGGUUUUCCAGGCAAAUCCGGAAAAUCAAGGCUGAGGCGUGAUGACGAGGCACUACGGUGCUGAAGUGACAAAUGCCCUGCUUCCAGGAAAAGCCUCUAAGCAUCAGGUAACAUCAAAUCGUACCCCAAACCGACACAGGUGGUCAGGUAGAGAAUACCAAGGCGCUUGAGAGAACUCGGGUGAAGGAACUAGGCAAAAUGGUGCCGUAACUUCGGGAGAAGGCACGCUGAUAUGUAGGUGAAGCGACUUGCUCGUGGAGCUGAAAUCAGUCGAAGAUACCAGCUGGCUGCAACUGUUUAUUAAAAACACAGCACUGUGCAAACACGAAAGUGGACGUAUACGGUGUGACGCCUGCCCGGUGCCGGAAGGUUAAUUGAUGGGGUUAGCGGUAACGCGAAGCUCUUGAUCGAAGCCCCGGUAAACGGCGGCCGUAACUAUAACGGUCCUAAGGUAGCGAAAUUCCUUGUCGGGUAAGUUCCGACCUGCACGAAUGGCGUAAUGAUGGCCAGGCUGUCUCCACCCGAGACUCAGUGAAAUUGAACUCGCUGUGAAGAUGCAGUGUACCCGCGGCAAGACGGAAAGACCCCGUGAACCUUUACUAUAGCUUGACACUGAACAUUGAGCCUUGAUGUGUAGGAUAGGUGGGAGGCUUUGAAGUGUGGACGCCAGUCUGCAUGGAGCCGACCUUGAAAUACCACCCUUUAAUGUUUGAUGUUCUAACGUUGGCCCGUAAUCCGGGUUGCGGACAGUGUCUGGUGGGUAGUUUGACUGGGGCGGUCUCCUCCUAAAGAGUAACGGAGGAGCACGAAGGUUGGCUAAUCCUGGUCGGACAUCAGGAGGUUAGUGCAAUGGCAUAAGCCAGCUUGACUGCGAGCGUGACGGCGCGAGCAGGUGCGAAAGCAGGUCAUAGUGAUCCGGUGGUUCUGAAUGGAAGGGCCAUCGCUCAACGGAUAAAAGGUACUCCGGGGAUAACAGGCUGAUACCGCCCAAGAGUUCAUAUCGACGGCGGUGUUUGGCACCUCGAUGUCGGCUCAUCACAUCCUGGGGCUGAAGUAGGUCCCAAGGGUAUGGCUGUUCGCCAUUUAAAGUGGUACGCGAGCUGGGUUUAGAACGUCGUGAGACAGUUCGGUCCCUAUCUGCCGUGGGCGCUGGAGAACUGAGGGGGGCUGCUCCUAGUACGAGAGGACCGGAGUGGACGCAUCACUGGUGUUCGGGUUGUCAUGCCAAUGGCACUGCCCGGUAGCUAAAUGCGGAAGAGAUAAGUGCUGAAAGCAUCUAAGCACGAAACUUGCCCCGAGAUGAGUUCUCCCUGACUCCUUGAGAGUCCUGAAGGAACGUUGAAGACGACGACGUUGAUAGGCCGGGUGUGUAAGCGCAGCGAUGCGUUGAGCUAACCGGUACUAAUGAACCGUGAGGCUUAACCUUACAACGCCGAAG